GCUUUGCUUUUCUAGGGCAGUUGCCUUUCACCUCCCAAGUGGUUGAGCAUAUGAGGGAUCCCUCUCUUGUGUUUAUUUCUGCAGUUUGUUUGUUUGUGUAUUGAAAAUAGCUAAAGAGUAAAAUAAUGGAGGAAAAAGAUUAGCUUAAAAAGUUCAAAGACAUCACGCUACAGCUGUGUUCUUUGGCAUUAUUCCAGUGUUAGGGUACUGCCUAGUUCCCUGUCUAUGGUAUGAAGAACAAGCUAUCCAUUGGCCAGAGUGAAAGAGUGAGAAACAAAAAUUCACCAGAAGCUCAGUCUUGAAUGGCAGCAUCUCUAGAGUUAUGGGCUGAUACCACUGGCAAGAGAACAGCAUGGUAUUAGAAGACACUAGGGACUGUAAAGAAAACAAGCAGGAACGGGAGAAGAAUAGCUCAAGAUAACCCAUUUUUCAGCAAACACUUGCGAGAGAAUGCCAGGACUAGAAAAGACCUGAGAACCAGAAGAUCAAAAGGACACUAGCCAUGUAAAAGGAAAUUCUCUUACAAAAGGGGGGGGUAGUCUUGGAGGGAGUUUUUUAGGGGGACCAGACUGACCCAGGAUGCUCCUGGGGAGUAGGGGAUGUCUGAAGAAGUUAGACUUCCCUAGUCACAGUCACAGGAUGUUAACUGAUUAUCCUCUUUCAAAAUCUUCCUCAAAACUUCCCUUUUCCAUGAUGUCUACAAAAAACUUGAUUAUGGUUAAGUUGCUGGUAUGCUGAGGCCAUUGCCAAUCAUGCUGACCAAUAUUGUCUCAUUGUUUGUUUGUACUCCCUUAUCUGUCUAUAUCCACCUAUUGUCUGUUGUCUUAGACAGUAAGCCCUUUGGACAGACGCUGUCUUUCUGGGUGGUGUUGGUACCACGUCUAGGACGAUGGAGUCGUGAUCCAGGACUAGGGAUUCUACACGCUACUGUAAUACAAAUAAUUAUUACAAAUCUUUAGGUAAGAAAAACAUGCAUCUCGUCACCAUAGACACCACUGGUCACACGCUCCUGAAGGAAAGAACUGCAUAUGCCAAACCCAGUCAGACCUGCUGGGUCAGCAGAGUUGAUAUGCAAAAUACUUGAGCCAAUGGCCCUAAGAGAAGGAGAAUUUUUUAAUUCCUCCCCAGUAGAGGUAAA